rnacentral:misc_RNA from 1 species
AUAUAUAUAUAUAUAUGAAAAUGAAACAAACUCACAGGUGAAAGGAAUGCAUGGAAACUUCAGGAUGCUUUCAUGAUAUUUCAUUUUUCAUUCACUAUGAUUGGUACUUGAUUUUCCAUUUUAACUUUUCAUUUACCAUUAUUCGUGGCGCCUUUAUUUCCCAAGUUGUUUUCUAUUAGUAGUUUUCAUUUCUUAACUUUUAGUAUCAACUCCAUCAACAACGAUACUGAUGGGUACUAAUAAUACAGAUAAUGGAAGGCACUCUAAGAUCCACCUGAACUUCUCUACAGCUCGACAUUGCUCUCUGCCAAAACAUGCAAAGAAACUUCCCAAAGAACUAUAUUUUACAAUUUAGAUGUCAACACAAGGAAUGCAGUGCCAGAAAAUUACCAGAAAUGAACUGCAACUGAAAUUGUGUCCAUAGUAUAGGGUUGACCCU